rnacentral:rRNA from 1 species
UACGGGGGGGGCAAGCGUUGUUCGGAAUUACUGGGCGUAAAGGGUCUGUAGGUGGCUUGCUAAGUCAGACGUGAAAUCCCUCGGCUUAACCGGGGAACUGCGUCUGAUACUGGCGUGCUGGAGUGUGGCAGAGGGAGGUGGAAUUCCACGUGUAGCAGUGAAAUGCGUAGAGAUGUGGAGGAACACCGAUGGCGAAGGCAGCCUCCUGGGCCAGCACUGACGCUCAUGCACGAAAGCGUGGGGAGCAAACAGG